CCGGAGCUUGCUCCACCGGAAAAAGAGGAGUGNNNNAACGGGUGAGUAACACGUGGGUAACCUGCCCAUCAGAAGGUGAUAACACUUGGAAACAGGUGCUAAUACCGUAUAACAAUCGAAACCGCAUGGUUUUGAUUUGAAAGGCGCUUUCGGGUGUCGCUGAUGGAUGGACCCGCGGUGCAUUAGCUAGUUGGUGAGGUAACGGCUCACCAAGGCGACGAUGCAUAGCCGACCUGAGAGGGUGAUCGGCCACAUUGGGACUGAGACACGGCCCAAACUCCUACGGGAGGCAGCAGUAGGGAAUCUUCGGCAAUGGACGAAAGUCUGACCGAGCAACGCCGCGUGAGUGAAGAAGGUUUUCGGAUCGUAAAACUCUGUUGUUAGAGAAGAACAAGGAUGAGAGUAACUGUUCAUCCCUUGACGGUAUCUAACCAGAAAGCCACGGCUAACUACGUGCCAGCAGCCGCGGUAAUACGUAGGUGGCAAGCGUUGUCCGGAUUUAUUGGGNGU
rnacentral:rRNA from 1 species